UGCAUAUCGACACAGCACCCCACAGUGGCGUACAAACCGGCCAAUCUUGCUAAUAAGUCAGCCCGCUAGUUGGCUACUUUCCUGGUCUCCCCUCGGCUCUAUGCCCUAAUAGGCCGUCUCUGUGGGAUGAGAGGCAUCCACGCUAUUAGUAUCUGUCAAUCUGGCUGAAGGAGCCGAACUCUUGGGACCCUCAGGAUCAGUGGCCCUUUGGGGGGGGACUUGGCGUCCCCUGCUAAAGCCUCAGCAGACUCUGGAAGCUUGGAAACCUAAAACUGUGCUCUGGAGGAUCUGUGAUUCAAGCUUUUGAGCAACACUUGUGAGCUCCUGCAGAACAGAAAUGGUCACAUCCAAGAAGUGAAGUUAGAAUGAAUACUGCUUCUGCACAAUGCUACAGCUGCUGGCGUCUCAGAGACUUGCAGAACUGGCCUUUGGCACUGGUGUCACCCUCAUCAAUAUUCAACACCGAUAGACAUGGAAGAGUCUCACGAAGGUUCAUAAGGAGGCUGGAAGCAGCAUAAGUCAGAGAACUUAUUGAACCCAUACCAGAUCUUUGUUUUGUUUUUGUUUUUUUUACAGAGUUUCAUUUUCACUCACUGUUUGGUUUAGUUUAGGCACCAAAACUACUUGGUUAAGUUUCGAAAAAGAUCGUCGUUUGGCAAAAAAGUUCACUCUUUCACAACCUUGCCUACAUGUUACAAGAGGAACUUUUCAUGGCCUGAAAAGCAGCGACGAUAGUGAGAACAGCAGAGAAAGUGUCUUUUUCUGACGUGCAUGGAUGUUUACAGGUCUAUGGGACUACUGCACACUUUGAUGGAUAACUGAUGUGUUCAUCAUGCAAAUUAUUACAGUUAUGUAAAAUUUGUACAAAAAAACUACAGAACCACAAACUUCUUAACUUAACUUCUGUUGGGUUGAAAUGUGAUCUCUGCUUAGAGCUCUUUCAAAACAUUAUCUUAACACAUCUCAUGCCAACAUGCAAUCUUUCACUGAGCUGUGGCCUCAGAUUUUCUGUUAAGGUGUGGGUGAUGAUGAGUCAACGCAGGACAAUAAAUGAUACUCUGAA